UUUCGCAAUGCCCGAAAGGGUGACGAAGCGACGCCGCGUGCGGGAAGAAGGCCUUCGGGUUGUAAACCACUGUCGGGAGUUAAGAAAGGUGUACGGGUAAAUAGUCCGUGCAUUUGACAAAAGCUCCGGAGGAAGCCACGGCUAACUCUGUGCCAGCAGCCGCGGUAAUACAGAGGUGGCAAGCGUUGUUCGGAAUUAUUGGGCGUAAAGAGCACGUAGGCGGCCCUGCAAGUCAGCUGUGAAAGCCUCCUGCUUAACGGGAGAAGUGCAGUUGAAACUACGGGGCUAGAGUGCGGAAGGGGAGAGUGGGACUUCUGGUGGAGCGGUGAAAUGCGUAGAUAUCAGAAGGAACACCGGCGGCGAAAGCGGCUCUCUGGUCCGUAACUGACGCUGAGGUGCGAAAGCCAGGGGAGCAAACGGGAUUAGAUACCCCGGUAGUCCUGGCCGUAAACGAUGGGCACUAAGUAGAGGGGUUUU
rnacentral:rRNA from 1 species